AUGAGCAAUUUUGCAGGAGUUCCUACCACAAAGAUGAGCAGAAGCAGGGGAGUUCGCUGGGAUGGAGGCGCUGGUGGCCUCGCCAUGGCCGUUGAGGAGGUGGGGGUAGAGGAGUUGAGCGCUGGCCAGGGCCAGGCGGGGCAGGAGGUGAGCGCUGGUCUGGAGGAGCCCGACAGAGAAGCAGGGACGACGAGGGGCCUGGCGGAGGGCCAAAGAGGAGCGCUGGCAUGGAGGAGCCCGACCGAGGGGCAAAGAGGGGCGCUGUCCUGGAGGAGCCCGACGGAGGGGCCUGGAGCAGCGCUGGCCUCGCGGAUGGAGGAGGAAGACGAUCUGUUUUCAAACUAG
rnacentral:rRNA from 1 species